rnacentral:tRNA from 2 species
GGUUGCGUAGUGUAGUGGUUAUCACUCCAGAUUUUGAUUCUGGUAACCCCGGUUCGAGCCCGGGCGCGACCU